AGGUUGAGGUGGAGCCUUGUGAUGUAUGGAAGCAACAGUCACAAGAUGUGCUUGUGCGAUGAGAAUACAGGAGACCUCGAGCGUAGCCGCUAUCGUGGAAAUCGUGGCAUGCAUCGUAUGGAUGGAUGAGUUGUUGUUGGCUGGCAAUGGCAUCCAGAAGUGAAGUCUGAUGGGGGGAGCUCCAAACUCAGCGUUGUAAUCAGUGCGAUUCGGCACAAAGAUACCAGCAUUUGAGCAGAGGUGUAUGUAUGUCUUGAUGUUGUUUUAUAC